rnacentral:rRNA from 1 species
UAAUAGCGUAUAUUAAAGUUGUUGCGGUUAAAAAGCUCGUAGUUGGAUUUCUGCUGAGAACGACCGGUCCGCCCAUUGGGUGUGUAUCUGGCUCUUUCUUGGCAUCUUCUUGGUGAACGUUACUGCACUUGACUGUGUGGAGCGCUACCCAGGACUUUUACUUUGGGGAAAUUAGAGUGUUUCAAGCAGGCAUACGCCUUGAAUACGUUAGCAUGGAAUAAUAAGAUAGGACCUCGGUUCUAUUUUGUUGGUUUCUAGAGCUGAGGUAAUGAUUAAUAGGGACAAUUGGGGGCAUUCGUAUUAACGCGUCAGAGGUGGAAUUCUUGGAUUGCGUUACGACGAACUACUGCGAAAGCAUUUGCCAAGGAUGUUUUCAUUGA